ensembl:miRNA
CCACAUCUGGUUGUAGGGGUACAGUGAUCAGGUUACGAAGGAUUUCUCUAGUAACAACCCCGUAGCUUGAUCACCAUCUCCCUAUGACUCAGAUU